GAUGAACGCUGGCGGCGUGACUAAUACAUGCAAGUCGAGCGAACGGACGAGAAGCUUGCUUCUCUGAUGUUAGCGGCGGACGGGUGAGUAACACGUGGAUAACCUACCUAUAAGACUGGGAUAACUUCGGGAAACCGGAGCUAAUACCGGAUAAUAUUUUGAACCGCAUGGUUCAAAAGUGAAAGACGGCCUUGCUGUCACUUAUAGAUGGAUCCGCGCUGCAUUAGCUAGUUGGUAAGGUAACGGCUUACCAAGGCAACGAUGCAUAGCCGACCUGAGAGGGUGAUCGGCCACACUGGAACUGAGACACGGUCCAGACUCCUACGGGAGGCAGCAGUAGGGAAUCUUCCGCAAUGGGCGAAAGCCUGACGGAGCAACGCCGCGUGAGUGAUGAAGGUCUUCGGAUCGUAAAACUCUGUUAUUAGGGAAGAACAUAUGUGUAAGUAACUGUGCACAUCUUGACGGUACCUAAUCAGAAAGCCACGGCUAACUACGUG
rnacentral:rRNA from 1 species